GUCGAACGCUGGCGGCGUGCUUAACACAUGCAAGUCGAACGAAGUGGCGAACGGGUGAGUAACGCGUAUCAACCUGCCCUUCAGUGGGGGAUAACGUCCGGAAACGGGCGCUAAUACCGCAUACUAUCAGCUUAGCCUAGGUGGGAUUAGCUAGUUGGUGGGGUAAAGGCCUACAAAGGCGACGAUCCGUAGCUGGUCUGAGGGGAUGAUCAGUCACACUGGAACUGAGACACGGUCCAGACUCCUACGGGAGGCAGCAGUGGGGAAUAUUGCACAAUGGGCGCAAGCCUGAUGCAGCCAUGCCGCGUGUGUGAAGAAGGCCUUCGGGUUGUAAAGCACUUUCAGCGGGGAGGCGUUACCCGCAGAAGAAGCACCGGCUAACUCCGUGCCAGCCGCCGCGGUAAUAC
rnacentral:rRNA from 1 species